AGAGUUUGAUCAUGGCUCAGAACGAACGCUGGCGGCGUGCUUAACACAUGCAAGUCGCGUGCGCAGUUCCGUAGCAAUACGGGGCAGGCGCACGGCGCACGGGUGCGUAACACGUGGGCAAUCUGCCCUCCGAUGGGGAAUAACCCCGCGAAAGCGGGGCUAAUACCGCAUAACAUUCCUUGAGCGACGGUUCGAGGAUUCAAAGCAGUAAUGCGUCGGAGGAGAGCCCGCGCCCGAUUAGCUAGUUGGUGAGGUAACGGCUCACCAAGGCAAUGAUCGGUAGCUGGUCUGAGAGGAUGAUCAGCCACACUGGAACUGAGACACGGUCCAGACUCCUACGGGAGGCAGCAGUGGGGAAUCUUGCACAAUGGGCGAAAGCCUGAUGCAGCGACGCCGCGUGGGGGAUGAAGCUUUUCGGAGUGUAAACCCCUUUCGCCUGGGACGAAUGCCCGCAAGGGAGUGACGGUACCAGGAUAAGAAGCCCCGGCUAACUACGUGCCAGCAGCCGCGGUAAGACGUAGGGGGCCAGCGUUGUUCGGAAUUACUGGGUGUAAAGGGUUCGUAGGCGGUGUGGCAAGUUGGGAGUGAAAUCUCUGGGCUCAACCCAGAGGCUGCUUCCAAAACUGCUGUGCUUGAGUGUGAGAGAGGCUCGUGGAAUUGCAGGUGUAGCGGUGAAAUGCGUAGAUAUCUGCAGGAACACCCGUGGCGAAAGCGGCGAGCUGGAUCACUACUGACGCUGAGGAACGAAAGCUAGGGGAGCAAACAGGAUUAGAUACCCUGGUAGUCCUAGCCCUAAACG
rnacentral:rRNA from 1 species